UACGGGGGGAGCAAGCGUUGUUCGGAUUUACUGGGCGUAAAGGGCGCGUAGGCGGUCAGCACAAGUCAGUUGUGAAAUCUCCGGGCUUAACUCGGAAAGGUCAACUGAUACUGUGCGACUAGAGUGCAGAAGGGGCAACUGGAAUUCUCGGUGUAGCGGUGAAAUGCGCAGAUAUCGGGAGGAACACCAAUGGCGAAGGCAGCUCACUGGGACGGUACUGACGCUGAGACGCGAAAGCGUGGGGAGCAAACAGG
rnacentral:rRNA from 1 species